rnacentral:rRNA from 1 species
GACGAACGCUGGCGGCGUGCUUAACACAUGCAAGUCGAACGUGAUUUUUGUGGAAAGCCCUUCGGGGACGGAAGCGAAAUGAAAGUGGCGAACGGGUGAGUAACACGUGAGCAACCUACCUUACACAGGGGGAUAGCCGUUGGAAACGACGAUUAAUACCGCAUGAGACCACAAAGCCACAUGGCUUAGGGGUAAAAGAUUUAUCGGUGUAAGAUGGGCUCGCGUCUGAUUAGCUAGUUGGAAGGGUAAAGGCCUACCAAGGCAACGAUCAGUAGCCGGUCUGAGAGGAUGAACGGCCACAUUGGAACUGAGACACGGUCCAAACUCCUACGGGAGGCAGCAGUGGGGAAUAUUGCACAAUGGGGGGAACCCUGAUGCAGCGACGCCGCGUGAGCGAAGAAGGUUUUCGAAUCGUAAAGCUCUGUCCUAUGAGAAGAUAAUGA